CAUCAAAGGCAACAUCUAACUCAUUGACAAGGGCAUCCACGUGGGUCAUCAAUGGUGUGGUCCAAAAAGACGAGAAGCACGGCUGCCGUGACGAUGGUGGACAUCGCCACCUACCCGCUGCCCAAGAGGACCAAGCCUGGCUAUCCCGAUGCCUCCAUUUCUUCACAAUCUCUCGCCAGGAGAGUAGGAGGGGCGGCAACUGCUUCCUUGGCCGAGCUUGUCUCCACUAGGCUGCUUGUGCAGGAUUUGGCUCUGCGGUUCAAUUUCAACGCUGUGGGGGAGCUGGUGCCAUUGUGGGCUACCUAUUGUUAGGGUUCAUCUUCCAAUGAUUGUAGCCGUGGCGAGGUUAGGCCUGCUUCCUGCCAUGUACAGCGUUGAUGCAAGCUGCUGGCUUGCCCAACACCGUACCAUGCAUGUGCUCCUCCACGAACCUCGUCAGAUGGUGUGAGCUUUUUUGGUUUUCAUGACAAUUCGUGAAAGAGGAUGCCUCCAUUUCCUCCUAGUUUGGCGUCUCUUGCACAAGACGAGCCCAUGCAGCAACUGGCGAUGGCGUCGAACGACACUAAAUACUGCUGGAACCCCUCUCCUACAGACAACAGAUCUGUGACUAGCCUUGCAUGAUGAAUUGGUGAUGAUGCUGGUCAAGAUUUGGUGAUUCUUUUGCUGUCGAUGGUGCAUUGCUGGUGGAAAAUCUUCUCUCAUCUACCUUGGAUGCUGAUGAUGCUGGUCAAUGCUUUCAUGAUUCUCGUGUUGUCCACGGUGCAUUGCUUGUGGAGCAGCUUCUCUCAUCAAGUGAGGACUUUUUCCACAUAAUCAUGGAUUACUUCAUCUAUGUUGAUCAAGAAGUAUAGCAAGGAGAUCAGCAAGGACAACCAUGCUCUUGGAAAGCUGAGGAAGGAAGCUGAGGGUGCCAGUAGAGCCCUCAGUAACCAGCACCCGGUCUGUGUUGAGAUCGAGUCCCUCUUCGACGGGACUGAUUUCUCGGAACCACCGACCCAUGCCAGGUUAGAGGAACUCAACAAUGAUCUGUUCCGCAUGACCAUGGUACUCGUGAAGAACGCCAUGGAUGACGCUGGCCUCGAGGAGAGCCAGAUCCACAAAGUUGUUUCUUGUCGGUGGCAGCACCAGGAUUCCCAAAGGUCCCGCAGCUCAUCAGGGACUACUUCGACGACAAGGAGCCAGACAAGGGUGUGAACCCUGAUGAGGCUGUUGCCUUUGGUGCUACAGCGCAGGGAAGCAUCUUGAGUGGGAGGGUGGUGUCGGAACCAGUGGGAGUGGCCUGGCUUGAUGGUGAGGAUGGCGACGCAAUCUAUGCUUGAGACGAUGGGAGGUCAGUUAGCUGCUGGAAAUCUGAUGGUCCGAAGGGCGAGAAGAUGGGUCGAUUUUUCUUUACAUUUCCGGGGAGAGCAUAUCUGUCUAAAGAAAAGAAAAGCCUGGAAGUUGUGGUUGUUAGCAGCCAGGCCAUCGAGGGAACUUGACACGCUCAAGUGGCUAUCUGGGUUGUGCCCAGAAGCUGGCUGUUAGAUUCAUAGGCUUCUCAGCUAGUUUGUUGUGGUGUUGAAAUAGCCUCUUGUUUUUAGAAUUGUGUUGAAGAGCUAAGCUUAGCUUCAUGUGGUUGAUUUUUGUUGGUGUGGAACAUGUUGCCUUGGCAGGAUGAUUUUGGACGGACUGGUUGCUCUACAAAGGAAUGAAUUCGAUUCGAGUGCAUGAGUAAAUGAGUUUCUGGAUUCCCAACAGACCCUUGUUGAUUUGGAUCAUGAUUUUUCUGUUUUGGCUGAAAAGAGUCCAUUGCAACUGUGUCGGCGUGCUAGUCGUCGCUGUGGGUUUUCUGCUCCCUGCAGCAGUACUUUUGUGCUUGUAAAAUACUCCCUCUGACCCUAAAUAAGUGGCGUGGUAUUAGUUCACUUAUUUUGGAUUGGAGGGAGUAGUUGUUUUGUACUCAUACAUAAGGAGGGAGCUUGAACUUAUUCUGGACUAUGGAUGAGAAGUCCCUUGUUCUGUACGUUGUUUUCCGGACCAUACAU